rnacentral:rRNA from 1 species
GGCCAGACUCCUACGGGAGGCAGCAGUGGGGAAUAUUGCACAAUGGGGGAAACCCUGAUGCAGCGACGCCGCGUGAGUGAAGAAGUAUUUCGGUAUGUAAAGCUCUAUCAGCAGGGAAGAAGUUGACGGUACCUGAGUAAGAAGCCCCGGCUAACUACGUGCCAGCAGCCGCGGUAAUACGUAGGGGGCAAGCGUUAUCCGGAUUUACUGGGUGUAAAGGGAGCGUAGACGGCAGUGCAAGUCUGAAGUGAAAGCCCCGGGCUUAACCCAGGAACUGCUUUGGAAACUGUACGGCUGGAGUGCUGGAGAGGUAAGCGGAAUUCCUAGUGUAGCGGUGAAAUGCGUAGAUAUUAGGAGGAACACCAGUGGCGAAGGCGGCUUACUGGACAGUAACUGACGUUGAGGCUCGAAAGCGUGGGGAGCAAACAGGAUUAGAUACCCGGGUAU